UACGUAGGGGGCAAGCGUUGUCCGGAAUCAUUGGGCGUAAAGCGCGCGUAGGCGGCCCGGUAAGUCCGUUGUGAAAGUCAAAGGCUCAACCUUUGAACGCCGAUGGAUACUGCCGGGCUAGAGUCCGGAAGAGGCGAGUGGAAUUCCUGGUGUAGCGGUGGAAUGCGCAGAUAUCAGGAGGAACACCAAUGGCGAAGGCAGCUCGGUGGGACGUGACUGACGCUGAGACGCGAAAGCGUGGGGAGCAAACAGG
rnacentral:rRNA from 1 species